rnacentral:snoRNA from 1 species
GUCCCUGAUGAACAAAAUAACACAGACCUGUACUGAGAGAGUCAACUUCUCGUGCAGACAACCUUUAUUGCCUUUUAUUUCUGAGA